UACAGAGGUCCCAAGCGUUGUUCGGAUUCAUUGGGCGUAAAGGGUGCGUAGGUGGCGCCGUAAGUCGGGUGUGAAAUUUCGGAGCUUAACUCCGAAACUGCAUUCGAUACUGCGGUGCUUGAGGACUGGAGAGGAGACUGGAAUUCAUGGUGUAGCAGUGAAAUGCGUAGAGAUCAUGAGGAAGACCAGUGGCGAAGGCGGGUCUCUGGACAGUUCCUGACACUGAGGAGCGAAAGCGUGGGGAGCGAACAGG
rnacentral:rRNA from 1 species